rnacentral:lncRNA from 1 species
UUUGUUUUGUUCUUUCUUACAGGAACAUUCGAUGCCGGCAGGUACUCGGUCUUUCACUUCUCUUACAUGAAGGGCAUCUUGACGGGCCACUGCUCGGUGUGCAAGUGGGGGACGACGCUCCGAGCGGCGACCUGUGUUCGGCGUCCCGGGUCCAGCCCCCGCGCGCGUGCAGCUCAACGAGAGGCCGCUCAAGUUUGCCUUCGCACGUUCGACGCUGUACCUUUUCGACAUCGGCCACAACUUGCGAAAGCCUUUCGCCAUUACCGUGGGACGACUCUGACGAGCGCAAUAAACGAGGUCUUC